UACUCCUGAAAGAGGUAAGAAAUAAUAUAUUUUCUGGAGAGGACAAAAAGUUUAAAAGGAAGUAUCAUAUUGGAACAUACAUAUAUUAGGGGGACCGGAAAGUAAUGUCCUUUCGGUGCAUUUGAUAUUGGGUUUCAAGAUUUUAUUUUUAAUUAGUAAUGUAUUCAUUCUCGUUAGCAACAACUUUUCAAUGCCAAAUCAAAAAUAAAUCUAAAAAAAUGAAUUGGUUUUUGAGACUAACGAAUAUCUAAUGCACCGAAAUAACAUUACUUCCUGGUCCCCCUAAAACAAAAAAAUUCAAAUCGAUAUAUUAAAUUCAAUUUUACGUAAAUGUAAAUUGAAGUUAUUGUUUCGUAACAAAUGUAUUAUUUCAUAUAAAAUAAUUCUUAAAUGUAAAAUAUUGAAAUUUUAAUCAUCUUGAAAUUCAUUAUUAUGGUUUCCUAAAAAUUAUAUUUUAUUCUUCAAAAAAUUUUUAAUGUAAGCCAAGUAUUCAAAUUCAAUUUCCUAAUAAAAAGAUAUGCUAGUGAUCUACUACUAGCUAUUUACAAAGUUUUAGUGUAAUACUAAAUCGUUGGUUGAACCCCUAUGUGCACACCACUGAUUUGAAACCAUGUAGGUGUUUACAAAUUUUUUGAUCUUUAGGUUGAAUUCAACUACUCAAAAGCCUUUUUUGAAUUAAUGGUUUAGUCAAUGUGAGACAUAGACUUGGCAGCAACAUGUAAACAGGUUACAUUUAUAACAGAUCCUAUUUUUGACUAUGUACAAAAGAAUUUUUUUUUAAAAAUGGCUCAGUAUAGCUAAAUAUGAUUUGCAGGUUCAUGAAAGAUACAAGAAAACUAACCUUCAUUUGAAAGCCUUUUAACACAAGAAAUAUGAAUCUUGGAAAUGCAGUGCUAUUGAAAAAUUAAACAAGCUUCUUCAUUCAAAUAUAUUGAGAAGACUUCAUAGUUAACCAAAUACCAUAAAAGGAAGAAGGAGUGGAUGCAUUUUGAACAGUUUUGUGACAAAUAAGAAAGGUAGUAUCUGAAAUUAACAGCUGCAUCCAAUUACUGUCCACUUGUGACCAAGUACUUAAGAAUGAGAGCUUAUUGGUCAAGAUUCCUUCGUGUGCAGUAAGUUUCUCAUUUGAAAUAUUUCAUUAAAUUAAAUUUUCAUGUUCAAUCAAGCAUUUUAAAUGUUUUCUAACGUUUGAAUGCUUUCUAACGUUUGAAUGCUUGCUGUCAUUGAACAUUUGCUCUAAUGUCAUUCCAUCACACAUAAAAAAUUUUUUCCAAUAAGGUAUUUAGUACUUUUAAGGCAUUUUUUCUUAAAUAUGAUAUUUCAUUUUUAAAAAAAUCGAAGGAAGGUUCAAUGUACAUGAACACUGUUUUAAAUUUUUUCAAAGAAAUCAAGUGAAAGUUUCAGAAGUUAUUGAUACUAACAUUUAGUAUUGUAGGGGAAGGUCUUCUGUUAUUAAAUAAGAGACAUGUUUAUUUCGAAAAUAAAUUUCGUUAUUAACUGACUAAUUAAUUAUGUAGAAAAACUACUUCUUUCUUUCUUUUUUUGGUGAUAGUGUAGCCAAAGGAUGCAAAAUCAGGGUUUAAUAUAAACAUAGGCCUAUUGAUCACAGAGGAAACCUAAUAAAAAAUUUUACCAUUUAAAAUUAUGUAUUUCAUAAUAAAUAUUAUUUAAUUUAUUCCAUUAAUCAAGUUUGAAGUAAAAUUAGGAAAACAAUCAAGGAUUAGGAAAAUACAGCAACAUGAACUAUUAAGAUUAAAAAAAGCAAAAUAUUAAUUAAAUAUUAAUUGCAGUCAUAAUUAUCAUACUUUAUUUCAAUAAAAUUGAUAAAUAACAACAAUAUUAACAAUAAGGUUGUUGACAAAAAGCUUAACUAAUUGAAAAGUCUGGACACAACAAAACAAAUUAGAGCUUCAACGCACAGUGCACCCAAACAAAUAGUAUAUCCCUAUUGUAACUCAUAUUCCAAUAAACCUACAACAGUUACAAAAAAUAGGCUGUUCAGAAGUUUUGUCAACUUUUGAUAAGUGAAGCAUAGACAGGUCUUAUGUCAAAAUAAUUAAGAGCAAUUGACAUAUCCUUUUAGAAGGAAAUUCAGAAAAGUACUGCUUCCACCCAAUUCAAGUUUGUAAUUACUGGCUAAUAAUCAUUUGCAAUUAUGGUUUUUACGCAACUAUCUAAGCAGAAUUUUUUAAAAUACACUUGAAAUAAUGUUUGUUAUUUAUAACGAGCUAAUAAGACACACUGCUAAAAGAGUGAUUGUAUAUCUUAAUGUAUAAGUCAAUUUUUCAAGCCCAAAAAAUUUUAGGAACAUCAAGGGGUCAACUUAAACACCGUUAGUAAAGUCGAGCAAUCAUAGAUUGUGAAAUAUCGAUGCAUUAUAAACAAUAAGAUAUAUGAAUAACUCUGUAUCAAAUUACCCCCUACAAAAAGUAUUCUUAAUAUGUUAUAUACAAUUAAUUUUGCAUUUCCUCUCAUUCUACUUUCUUUGCAUAUAAAAGUAAUUUUAGAAACAAUAUUUUAAUUUACGGUCAGAAAUAAAUUAAGACAAUUCAUUUAAGAGUAUUUCAAACAUAUAAUGCAGUGAAAACUUUUAAAAUAUGCUAUAAAAGUACGAUUUAAAGAUUCCAAAACAUAAUCUUUGUUGUAAUCAAUAACGCUAGCAAUGUUGCUUCAAUACAUUCUACUGCAUCUUCAUCUGCUAAGUUCCACAAAAAAUCAUUUGCACAUCACCCUAAGAAUUCAAAACUUUCGCUUUUAAAAAUUUUACAAAUGUAUCAUGAGGCCUGGUGGCUAAAUGGUAGCACUUUGAGCAGCCACAAGUCAGGGGUUCUAUUUUGGUUAGAGAAAGAUUGACUCAGCCUUUCAUCUUGUGUAGGGGUCAAUAAAAUAAGUACCAAUCAUACUUAGGGAUGAAACACUGGUGGUUCAACACUUGGCUGAUCACCCAACCAGAACAUCUGGUCCUGCACCAAAAGCC